rnacentral:lncRNA from 1 species
CUUUUCUUAUCCUGGGUUGGUUUCAUCAAGUAUGGUAUUGAAAUGUUUUACGAAUCAAACUUAAGUCAAACACAUUUUUAACACAGCUUACUGGAUAUUGUCCUAAAAUAAGCAGCACAGACUCUUCUUGGUUGAUUAAAAUUGGACAUUGAUGCAAAUUGCACAUAAUUUAUAGCGUUUGCUUUUUACUCCAUAUCAGCUUCUAAGGUUUGAACACCAUGAAUCUCAUGGUGGUUUUUUUGUUUGUUUUCUCAGGAAACCCUAAAUUCCCAAUAUCCAGAGAUACAGGACCUCUGUUCCGUUAUCUUUAGGUCCUACAAAUGACUGUUAGAUGUUCAAACAGUCACACAAAAGAAGCAACAGGUUUGUUUCAAUGUGAUAACUUCAAACUUAUUCUCGGUGCCUUGCUGAUAUCAAUUCUGACCCAACUGCAUCCUGCUGAAUUGCAUGAGGCCCUGCAAAGUAGCUUUUAUGUUUUAAGGUACAACUACCAUAAUCUUCUAAACUAUCUGAUAAAAUUUUAAUCUCUCUGCCCUCCUUUUUAGAAGUCAGCCAAGGAAAGAUGCGUUGACAGGAUCUUAUUUUAUUUACUUCUCACAAAUCCCUAUGUCUGCCAUGUUUAAUCGUUUAUCUUCUUCCUCCAGUUUUCCUUCCCCCUCCCUCUCGCUUUAAUCUUUUCUUUCCAUUUGGCUUACUGUGGCUGAAGUCCAGCUUUGCUUUAUUCUAAUUUUUGUGCAGACUAUAUUCCUUUAUCUGAACACACUCUUUGUUUCCUAAAAUGCUCCUGUACUUUAUCAUUAGAUUCUCUCAAUGUCAUCACUACUUGUGCUUUUCCUGUCUUGAUUAUUUGAUCAUUGAUGACAGAAAGGAUGAGCUGCAGUUUAUUAGAUUUAUUCUGUGGGGCUUGUUGCUAGGUGAUACCCCUUAGCCACUGCUAUAAAUACUUAAUAAUCUUAAGAUUAAAUUUCCUUGUUACUUUACAUUUAAACAGUGUAAGGUACCUGAACUUCAAUGAUUUAAAGUGCAUUAGAAAACUAUUUGGAUUAAGGGAGAAUUCUGAUUGGCUGCUAGAUUAUUGCUAAGGGAUGGAUUAAUUUGUAUGAAGCACACGGCUCUGCACUGCUGUUCAGUAUUUCAAACUGCUAAACUCAUCUUAUUGCAGGUUUGACAUACCUUUUUUCCAGACUGGAACUUUUAGGAGAGAAAAAUCACAACUAAGCAAGCUAUUUAGUAAUCAUGAGGUAACAUUCAGGAAGGAUUGAAAGUUUGAGGCUCUGCUGGCUUAUAUGAUUGUCCUAUGUUAAUCGCAUUCCUUAUCUCACCUUGCUGCUUAAUAUUUAUCCAACUAAAAUUAACUAUUUAACUCAUGCAUGAUCUUGAAAAAGUUCCCAUGUGAAAUACAGUACCAAGAGAAUAUUAUGGUUGUUGUUAUAAGAGUAUCUGCAAAAAUUCAUUUUAGUUCCUGAAUUUUUUUGUAAUUAUGAAGAGAGUUAUCUGCUUUCAAACAGGAUUUUAACCAGAAACUGGAAUCAGAAUGGAAAAUUUCCAUUUACUGUCAUUUUUAUCUGUGAAGUUCAAACAUAUUUUCCUUAGGCCUGUGCUCUCAUUUAGAUUAAAUUGUUGUUUCAUAACCCUGUCAGUAUAUAGGAAGCAUAAACUGAACCUAUUUUAUGACUAAUAUUUUUGCUACAGGAAAAUAAAAUAGCCUUUUAUUCUA